rnacentral:rRNA from 1 species
ACGAACCGGACAAACGUUAUUCGGAAUUACUGGGCUUAAAGAGUACGUAGGCGGCCAAGCAGGUCAGAUGUGAAAUCCCUCGGCUCAACCGAGGAAUUGCGUUUGAAACCGUUUGGCUUGAGGGAGAUAGAGGUUAGCGGAACUGAUGGUGGAGCGGUGAAAUGUGUUGAUAUCAUCAGGAACACCAGUGGCGAAGGCGGCUAACUGGGUCUCUUCUGACGCUGAGGUACGAAAGCUAGGGGAGCGAACGGG